rnacentral:rRNA from 1 species
UGGGGAAUAUUGGACAAUGGGCGCAAGCCUGAUCCAGCCAUGCCGCGUGUGUGAAGAAGGCCUUUUGGUUGUAAAGCACUUUAAGCGAGGAGGAGGCUACUUGGAUUAAUACUCUAGGAUAGUGGACGUUACUCGCAGAAUAAGCACCGGCUAACUCUGUGCCAGCAGCCGCGGUAAUACAGAGGGUGCGAGCGUUAAUCGGAUUUACUGGGCGUAAAGCGUGCGUAGGCGGCUUCUUAAGUCGGAUGUGAAAUCCCUGAGCUUAACUUAGGAAUUGGAUUAGAUACUGGGAAGCUAGAGUAUGGGAGAGGAUGGUAGAAUUCCAGGUGUAGCGGUGAAAUGCGUAGAGAUCUGGAGGAAUACCGAUGGCGAAGGCAGCCAUCUGGCCUAAUACUGACGCUGAGGUACGAAAGCAUGGGGAGCAAACAGG